CGAGAGAGACAAAGCGCUGCAGGCCAGGCGGGGGCCAUGGAGCUGCCAUCAGGCAUCCUGGUCCUGCCGUGGGGACUUGUGCUUCUACAGAGCUGCUCUGUCCUGUGCUCAGCGCUCUCGGGGCCCGCGCAAGCCGGCGGCAGCUCCGUGGUGUCCGAGUCGGCGGUGAGCUGGGCGGCGGGCGCCCAGGCGGUGCUGCGCUGCCAGAGCCCGCGCAUG